GAUGAACGCUGGCGGCGUGCCUAAUACAUGCAAGUCGAGCGAACAGACGAGGAGCUUGCUCCUCUGACGUUAGCGGCGGACGGGUGAGUAACACGUGGAUAACCUACCUAUAAGACUGGGAUAACUUCGGGAAACCGGAGCUAAUACCGGAUAAUAUAUUGAACCGCAUGGUUCAAUAGUGAAAGACGGUUUUGCUGUCACUUAUAGAUGGAUCCGCGCCGCAUUAGCUAGUUGGUAAGGUAACGGCUUACCAAGGCAACGAUGCGUAGCCGACCUGAGAGGGGGUCCGGCCAACUGGGAACUGAGAACCGGCCCAGACCCCUACGGGGGGCAGCAGUGGGGAAUCUUCCGCAAGGGGCGAAAGCCCGACGGAGAAACGCCGCGUGAGUGAUGAAGGUCUUCGGAUCGUAAAACUCUUUUAUUAGGGAAAAAAAAAUUUGUAAGUAAUAAUGCCCGUCUUGACGGUACCUAAUCAGAAAGCCCCGGCUAACUACGU
rnacentral:rRNA from 1 species